AGAACGAACGCUGGCGGCAUGCCUAAUACAUGCAAGUCGAACGAACACUUCGGUGUUAGUGGCGCACGGGUGCGUAACGCGUGGGAAUCUGCCCUUGGGUUCGGAAUAACAGUUGGAAACGACUGCUAAUACCGGAUGAUAUCGAAAGAUCAAAGAUUUAUCGCCCAGGGAUGAGCCCGCGUAGGAUUAGCUAGUUGGUGAGGUAAAGGCUCACCAAGGCGACGAUCCUUAGCUGGUCUGAGAGGAUGAUCAGCCACACUGGGACUGAGACACGGCCCAGACUCCUACGGGAGGCAGCAGUAGGGAAUAUUGGACAAUGGGCGCAAGCCUGAUCCAGCAAUGCCGCGUGAGUGAUGAAGGCCUUAGGGUUGUAAAGCUCUUUACCGAGAUGAUAAUGACAGUAUCGGGAGAAUAAGCCCCGGCUAACUCCGUAGCCAGCAGCCG
rnacentral:rRNA from 1 species